rnacentral:rRNA from 1 species
AUACGGAGGGUCCGAGCGUUAAUCGGAAUUACUGGGCGUAAAGCGUUCGUAGGCGGUUUGUUAAGCAAGAUGUGAAAGCCCCGGGCUCAACCUGGGAACUGCAUUUUGAACUGGCAAACUAGAGUAUUGUAGAGGGUGGUGGAAUUUCCAGUGUAGUGGUGAAAUGCGUAGAGAUUGGAAGGAACAUCAGUGGCGAAGGCGGCCACCUGGACAGACACUGACGCUGAGGUACGAAAGCGUGGGUAGCAAACAGGAUUAGAAACCCCAGUAGUCC